rnacentral:rRNA from 1 species
AACGAACGCUGGCGGCAGGCCUAACACAUGCAAGUCGAGCGAAGCCUUCGGGCUUAGCGGCGGACGGGUGAGUAACGCGUGGGAACGUGCCCUUUGGUACGGAAUAGCCCCGGGAAACUGGGAGUAAUACCGUAUGAGGUCGAGAGACGAAAGAUUUAUCGCCAAAGGAUCGGCCCGGGUUGGAUUAGGUAGUUGGUGGGGUAAUGGCCUACCAAGCCGACGAUCCAUAGCUGGUUUGAGAGGAUGAUCAGCCACACUGGGACUGAGACACGGCCCAGACUCCUACGGGAGGCAGCAGUGGGGAAUCUUAGACAAUGGGGGAAACCCUGACCUAGCCAUGCCGCGUGAUCGAUGAAGGCCUUAGGGUUGUAAAGAUCUUUCAGUGGGGAAGAUAAUGACUGUACCCACAGAAGAAGCCCCGGCUAACUCCGUACCAGCCGCCGCUGUAACAC